rnacentral:rRNA from 1 species
CAGUAGCCACGGGAAUACGUAGGGUGCGAGCGUUAAUCGGAGUUACUGGGCGUAAAGCGCGCGCAGGCGGUUGUGUAAGACAGGUGUGAAAUCCCCGGGCUUAACCUGGGAACUGCGCUUGUGACUGCACAGCUAGAGUAUGGCAGAGGGGGGUGGAAUUCCACGUGUAGCAGUGAAAUGCGUAGAGAUGUGGAGGAACACCGAUGGCGAAGGCAGCCCCCAGGGCCAAUACUGACGCUCAUGCACGAAAGCGUGGGGAGCAAACAGGAUUAGAUACCCCCGUAGUCCCUGUCUCUUAUAC